ACUCGUGUGAGGGGUGCGGAACCCACUGUUGGGGUCGAAACAAGGACAGACUCCCAAGAACGUUCCACCUC
rfam:Synechococcus sp. SynAce01, complete genome.